GGCUGUGGCUCAGUGGCAGAGCGCUUGCCUAGCAGGAGUGAGGCCCUGGGUUCGAUCCUCAGCACCA
rnacentral:tRNA from 1 species